AUUGAACGCUGGCGGCAUGCCUUACACAUGCAAGUCGAACGGCAGCACGGGUGCUUGCACCUGGUGGCGAGUGGCGAACGGGUGAGUAAUAUAUCGGAACGUACCUUAUUGUGGGGGAUAACGCAGCGAAAGCUGUGCUAAUACCGCAUAAUCCCUAAGGGGGAAAGCGGGGGACCGUGAGGCCUCGCGCAAUCAGAGCGGCCGAUACCUGAUUAGCUAGUUGGUGAGGUAAAGGCUCACCAAGGCAACGAUCAGUAGCUGGUCUGAGAGGACGAUCAGCCACACUGGGACUGAGACACGGCCCAGACUCCUACGGGAGGCAGCAGUGGGGAAUUUUGGACAAUGGGGGCAACCCUGAUCCAGCAAUGCCGCGUGAGUGAAGAAGGCCUUCGGGUUGUAAAGCUCUUUUGUCAGGGAAGAAACACCGGCUCUAACACAGUCUGGGAAUGACGGUACCUGAAGAAUAAGCACCGGCUAACUACGUGCCAGCCGCCGCGGUAA
rnacentral:rRNA from 1 species